UGGGAAUUGGACGUGAGAGCGGAUGGCUGCCUGUUUCUCUGUGUCGCCCCUGUGAUGGACUGACAAACUUGUCCAGGGAAAACCCCUGCUCUUUCCCAAUGUCAGCUGGCAUAGGCUCCAGCCCCCCCAGUUAAGAAAAGCCCGUCUGGGAGACACACGGAUGAUGAUUCACCAACAGCAAACUCUGCAUAGACACACAGUACUUGACCUUUCAACAGCAGUGCUGACAGCUCACAAACUCCUUUUGUAUGAAGUAACACUGUGGACUGUGACAGCACUACAUGCUGAGACUUGUCGAGUAAACUUGCCAGCAGCUGGGAGCUGUCAAGGGAAGCCACCCCAAGCAAAAUGUUAUUCCAGCUUGUUAGUGUUUGAAGUCACAGCAAGCUGGGCUGCAGAAGCUGCUGCCUGUGGUUUAUGGCUUGUGGGGUUGCUCAAGAUAUGGAGUCUCACUUUCCAAGUCAGGAUGUCUCACCGCCAUUGAAGCCACAACUGUAGCUGUGCGAUAACACAGGCACGUUGAGAAGAAAGGACUUCAGAGCAGAUAUGUGGUCUUGCCUCAGUGAGUGACAACACAGUAUGUGUGCAUGUGUGUGCGGAUGUGCGCGCGGGUCUCACUUCUUGUUGUUUUUCCACAUCCACCCACUGAUGCAGCACAGCAACUACUUGCCCAAACACUAUUACUUCCUCUUCUUUCUGCUUUCAUUUAGUUACUUUUAUCCAAAACAGGUGGAUUUUUUUCGUGACACUUGUGAGUGAUUUAUGGCUCUUUUCAUUGUGACAAUAGAAGCAUUAGGCAAGCCAGAAAAAUGAGUUUGUAUAAAAACUGACGACAGUUGAACAAAUAUGUGGAUUAAAAUUGCAAUAUUUAGAAUGUCAAAGCUGCACAAAAUAAAUAUCAGUAAUU